GGUGUAGAUGAGGGUGGCGUAUUUGCAGCGGAGGUCCUCCACGCCGUCAUUCACCACGUCCGCCAGGGCCGCCUCCCGCUGGUCCUUCCCGUACAGCCCGAGGGAGCGGCCCAGGUGGCGCAGGAUGGCGUUGGACUGGUACAGGGUCAGGUCUCCGUCCUGGAACUUGGGGAGCUGC